GGGUGCGAUCAUACCAGCACUAAUGCACCGGAUCCCAUCAGAACUCCGCACUUAAGCAUGCUUGGGCGAGAGUAGUACUAGGAUGGGUGACCUCCUGGGAAGUCAUCGUGUUGCACCCC
rfam:Corchorus olitorius cultivar O-4 contig11956, whole genome shotgun sequence.